GACAUAGGUGGCAAACGUUUAUCCGGAAUCAUUGGGCGUAAAGGGUGCGUAGAUCGUGAGGUAAGUUACGGGUGGCAAAUCGAGGCCCAACCUCGUGGAAGCUUGUAAUACUGCCGCACUAGAGUACAGAAGAGGUUGACGGAACUCCAUGUGGAGCGGUAAAAUGCGUAGAUAUAUGGAAGAACAUCAAUAAUGGCGAAGGCAGUUAACUAUUCUGUUACUGACGUUGAGGCACGAAAGCGUGGGGAGCAAAAAGG
rnacentral:rRNA from 1 species